GAUGAAGAACGCAGCGAAAUGCGAUAAGUAAUGUGAAUUGCAGAAUUCAGUGAAUCAUCGAAUCUUUGAACGCACCUUGCGCUCCUUGGUAUUCCGAGGAGCAUGCCUGUUUGAGUGUCAUGAAAUUCUCAACCUUUUCAGCUUUCUUUGUUGAUCAGGCUUGGAUGUGGGAGUAUGUGGGCUUCUCAGAAGUCGGCUCUCCUGAAAUGCAUUAGCGGGACCUUUGUUGCCUGGCUUUGGUGUGAUAAUUAUCUACGCCAUUGUAGUCAAGCAGCUUAAAAUGAGGUUUCAGCUUCUAACCGGCUCCCCUGAGACAACUUUUUGACAAUUUGACCUCAAAUCAGGUAGGACUACCCGCUGAACUUAAGCAUAUCAAUAAGCGGAGGA
rnacentral:misc_RNA from 1 species